rnacentral:lncRNA from 1 species
CAAAGAUUACUGCUUGUGAGUUUCUGCUCUGGAUGAGAACCACAAGCAUGAGAACAUGAGGAUAAAUACACUUUGGGGAAAAAGAAAACAGACAGAGGCAGCAGAGAAGGAAGACGAGAAGAAGAGAAAAAGAGAAGUAGGAAGAGGAUGAAUUCAUUUCGCUUAUCUGGCAAAUGUGUAAUCUGAGUAAUAGAGAAUCAUCCAGAGCUCCUGUGCUAUAAUGGCAGUUUGAACCGCUGGAGCCGAGAUUUGAGCCCCGGGACCCAUCAGUCCUGCUGGACCGUCUGUGAAACUGGUCCUGAACCCAGUGACCUCCGCCUCUGGGGGCAAUUCCAUCUCCAGUGGUUUUUGCCACAGGCUGGACAGGGUCGAAGUUGCUUCGUCUUGCUGCCUGGGCAAUCCUUAAAAUGCCCUGGCCUGCCACAUCAAUAGCAACUAGCAGAUGCACCUUGGGGAUUCUGGAUGUUGCAAGCCUGCAAAGCUGCUGCUAGAGCCUCUGUCCGUCUCCCGAGCUUGCUCUCUUUCUUUUGGGCAUCCUCCUCCUGGUCCAUAUUAUUAAAGACCGAAGUGGCCACUUUCAGGAGGCUCUCUAAGGUGCUGUCUGGUCCUGUACCUUGGUUUUGUAGUUUCC